GAGGAGGGGGAAAUGUUUGUUUGAGUAUCUCAUCAGGUGAUCGAUUGGAGCUAAUGAGAGUUCAGCGUGCAGUUAUGCAAAUUUUCGUUGAGUGAUAUAAGCCGAUGAGAGAUUGUUGCUAGCCAAACAAAAGAUAUUAGCUGAUGGAGAUUUCCCUUCCCUGCAAAUCGUUAACCAUUAAUAAAAUCUAUCUCUAUGAAAUUAAGUUAUUAAAUUCGUUGUUUAUCUUAUAAAUUUGAAAACCCUUUUAUCCCAUGCAGCCCUUCUCAUUAUCUCAGCCAUCGAAAAGGAAAACUUUCCCCAUCAACUUGAUGCUUGGUCCAUGUUGGGCUGACAUUUUCAUUCGUCUGCCGUGCUAACAUCUCCUCGAACAUAUGUUCUCAGCUCGUGCUGUCUCAGACUGAGUAUCUCAGACUGUAUAUCUGCGUCUGCAGUUACAUUGCAGAUACAUAUGUGUCGUUCUGUGUGCCGCACCGUCUGCUACCGCGGCGUAUACGUAAUGUGACAAUUGCUCGCUUCGCUUCUGACAUACAGUGCAACUUUGUUUACGUGACUAUCAGCCCCCAACUUCUGCGUGCUUGCUGGCACCCUUUUCCCUUUUCAUUUCAUUAUUUCUCUCUCUCUCUCGGCUCUCAUCUUCCCGAACAUCUUGUACAAUUUUAUUACGCUUUGCAUUGCAUUUUGUUGACAGUUUUGUCAACAAGCGUUGAAAAUUGGCUAAAUAUAAAUAUAUGUACCCAUCCUCGUUUCGCUUUUUGUCGUCGCACUGUGUGUGUGUGAGUGCAGGAAUAUUUAUUACAACGGCAACAACAACAACAACAACAACAACUCGCUCGCAUCGCAUUUUAUUUAUAAAUGCGAAUAUAAAUAGGUGCAAGAUGCACAGAUUUCAUCUGUGCCUAAAAGGAGGGUGGUGGUGGUGGUGGGCUGUACAGGGUAUAAUACGAGGGAUCCUGGUGCACAGUCAAGCGAAUUCGCAGCAAGCAUGACUUGUAAAUAGCUGCGAGUUAAGUAUCUGGCAAAGUGCAAAGUAGUUGCCAAGGCAUCACCGCCAGACUGCCGCAGCAGCAUCUUCCUCGCCAUCAUCUUCGUCCUCGGCAGCAUUCGCCCCCUCAUCUUGCACAUAAAUGCACUGUGAAAAAUAUCUAUACUUAAUAGCAAGUCUUGAGUUCUUUUUGUUAGUUUAAUCAUUACUUAAGUUUAAUAUUAAUAUUUGUUAUUAUUUCUUAAGAAGAAACCAAAUCUUAAAGGUUUUUCUCUUGGUGCAGCAUCAUCAUCAUCGUAAUGAACUGGGCACGCACUUGUCUCGCUCAGCCGUAGAAUGAUGAAUGUGGCAAGAGGCGGCAGAUGUGGCGAUGUCUAUAUGGCUAUAACUAUAGCCCUACCUAUAGGCAUGUCUAUGCCGGCAGAACGAAGAAAAUGUGCAACAUUCUGCCGCUUUAUCGCUUUUCCAGGAAUCGGAAAAUGCUUCCGCAUCAAUUGAAAGCAAUUUUACCUACAACUACAAUCCCUGGUUUAUCUUUCACACUUUAGCGUGGCUUAAAAAUAGAAGACCACGACACUUCCUCCCCCUAAAGAAAAAAAAAGAAGAAGAAAAUCAUAAAAAAAAAGUGGGAACUGCCGCCCUAUGGCGCUGUCAAAAUCAGUUAAGAACACCGAUUCGCUGUCUCAUCGCCGGAUCAACGACCACAGCGACUUGUAUGCCAUGUGUGUGGAUUUUUUUGCUGUACUUUCUGUCUUCUAUGUGAUGAGGUGAAACACAAACAACAACGUCGCGCCAAAAACAAAAAACAACAACAACAAUAAAAAGAUGUAAGAAAAAAUAUUUAAAUAUUUUAAGAGCGAUGACCCAGAAGCCGAAGCCCCAACAACAACAACAACAACGUCAAACACCUUCCAACGGGCCAAAAGCAACAACAAAAACAAACUGGAAAAAAUAAAAAAAAAAGCAAUUUUAAAUGAAGAAUUUUUUUGGUUCAACAAGAAGAGUUUAAUUUGUCAGAACAACAAACUUGAUAAAAAUCUAUACACAGGCGAGGUAGCGUGGGAGAGAGGUAGCGAGGGAGAGAGGGCUAAUACAAAGUAUGGUAAAAAACUGAAACGAAGCAAAAAGUUUCCCAAAAGGCUGGGGCUGCGACUUCAUGCAAACUUAUUUUG